GUGUUUUUCAGGUUUAAAUUUGAUGAUGAAAACCAAAGAAGAUAUGGAAAUUGUAUUAGAGGAGCGAUAUGGUGGGGAAGAGUUACCACAGACAAAUCCAGGAUUCAAUAAUACUCCUAGAUUUACCAAAUAUUAAAAUGCAUACACGAUGGUCUAUAUACAACAUCUUAGGGUUGCACGAGAUGAUGAUCUUGCAGAGCAGAUUGACAAGGAUAUAUAUUUUGAUCUAAUGGACCAUGAUAAAGUCAAUGUGUUUAAG